rnacentral:rRNA from 1 species
CAGUCGCCGCGGUAAUACGGAGGGUGCAAGCGUUAAUCGGAAUUACUGGGCGUAAAGGGCUCGCAGGCGGUUUCUUAAGUCUGAUGUGAAAGCCCCCGGCUCAACCGGGGAGGGUCAUUGGAAACUGGGAAACUUGAGUGCAGAAGAGGAGAGUGGAAUUCCACGUGUAGCGGUGAAAUGCGUAGAGAUGUGGAGGAACACCAGUGGCGAAGGCGACUCCCUGGUCUGUAACUGACGCUGAGGAGCGAAAGCGUGGGGAGCGAACAGGAUUAGAUACCCCUGUAGUCCCUGUCUCUUAUAA